UAGGGAAUCUUCGGCAAUGGGGGCAACCCUGACCGAGCAACGCCGCGUGAGUGAAGAAGGUUUUCGGAUCGUAAAGCUCUGUUGUAAGUCAAGAACGAGUGUGAGAGUGGAAAGUUCACACUGUGACGGUAGCUUACCAGAAAGGGACGGCUAACUACGUGCCAGCAGCCGCGGUAAUACGUAGGUCCCGAGCGUUGUCCGGAUUUAUUGGGCGUAAAGCGAGCGCAGGCGGUUAGAUAAGUCUGAAGUUAAAGGCUGUGGCUUAACCAUAGUACGCUUUGGAAACUGUUUAACUUGAGUGCAGAAGGGGAGAGUGGAAUUCCAUGUGUAGCGGUGAAAUGCGUAGAUAUAUGGAGGAACACCGGUGGCGAAAGCGGCUCUCUGGUCUGUAACUGACGCUGAGGCUCGAAAGCGUGGGGAGCGAACAGGAUUAGAUACCCUGGUAGUCCACGCCGUAAACGAUGAGUGCUAGGUGUUGGAUCCUUUCCGGGAUUCAGUGCCGCAGCUAACGCAUUAAGCACUCCGCCUGGGGAGUACGACCGCAAGGUUG
rnacentral:rRNA from 1 species